CAUUUACCAAAGCCUAGCUCAAGAUACCUUCAGAAAUUGCACUGAAGUCUUGUUUGAAAGCUUAAAUGCUGUAGAUAGAUCAACACUGCGGAAAAACUAAUGGAAGGCUGGUGGGUUGCUAGUAGCGUCCAAGGUGACACCCUGGUGAAUGACCACUGAUGCUGGUGUGCUCGGGAUCCCGGUGAUAGAGAUGUGGAUGAAACAUUCCGUGCAUGUUCAACAGAAGUGCCUGUUUUCCAAGCUGAUAGAGUAUAUUUGCAUAGAAGAGGCAUUAAAAAGAGUUCCAAAUGCAGAUUCAGAAUAA
rnacentral:lncRNA from 1 species